UCCCUCUUUCAUUUGGUAAACUAGUAGAUUGGGCCUCUCUUCUCUCUGAGUCUCUAGAAUAUAUACAUGCUCAUACAUCUACAAGAGUUUUUCAAAUAGAGUAGUCCCCUGCUACUUAUGGGGGAUACAUUCCAAGACCCCCAGUGAAGCCUAUAACCACAGAUAGUACUGAAUCGUAUAUAUACUGUUUUUUUUAUUCUGUACAUAUAAACCUACUAUAAAUUUUAAUUUACAAAUUAGGCACAGUAAGAGAUUAACAAUAACAACUAAUAAUAAAGUAGAACAAUAUACUCUAACAAAAGUUAUGAGAAUGUGGUCUCUCUUUCUCUCUCUCAAAAUAUUUUAUUCUACUAUACGCACUUAGUUUAGGACUCUGAUUGAUUACAGGGAACUGAAGCCUUGGAAAGCAAAACCCUGGAUAAGAGGGAGCUACUCUCAAAAUCUCUCCAGGGGCCUUAUGUCAAAUCUGAGAAGGGAGAAGAAAUGUAGGAAGACAGAACCAUUUUAUGGAGCAUGGGGCUCUGCUAGACACAGCUACAGAUCUUAUCAAAUUCAUUUUCUCAGCCACCCUGUGAAGGAGGUAUCAGCAUGUCCGAGCAGACAAAGAAAUUGAGGAAGAUUGAGUGAUUUGCUCCAGGUCAGAAGCUGAUAAAGAUAAGGCCUUGUUAGUUUCAAGGACAACGAUCCAGAUGUUUGUAACAGUCCUUCACAUAGAUAAUAUAAAGAAUCUUCCAGAAAAGAGAUGCAAGCCCUACAUUUAAAGAGUGAUGCUACUGUAAGAAUUGAGCUUUCCAGUUCCGGCAGGACCAUACCUGGCACAGUCAUGUGUCUGCUAGGGAUGCGAGAGGGAGGCAACAGAUCUUUUGCUGAGAUGAGCAUUUUCAGAAGAACAGAAGGUUUAUGGCUCUCAGUUUCCAGGUUCCUGCUGUUUCUGUUUAUUCACCACCUGAAGCCUUAAUUCUCUGUGUGUAACCCUGCAAUUGACUACUGUGGAGAUAAUUUUGACAUAAUCAUGCUAGAAUUAUGACUCUGGGACAGGGAUCACAGGAAAGUGGAUUAAGUCUUACAAUGGGUCCUAAAUCAGCAAGAAGAACCAGCAAUAAGAUAAUUUUCAGCCUGAUUAUCUGUUCUAUCUUUACUACAUUUAAAAAUAAAAUCCACAGGCUUAUUUUUCCUUCA
rnacentral:lncRNA from 13 species